CACGGUGACAUUUCUUAGAGGAUCCGGUUCCGGCGGCGAGCGGCCGAUCAGUAUGGGUGGCUUCGGUGCCGGCAGCAGGGCGGAGAAGAGUGGACGUAGCGUAGCGGCGGCCUCUCGGCUGUGUGCGGUGGGGUGAGGCCCUCGUCUCCGUGCGGCUCGGCGGCUGGCCUGGUGCCCUCGUCGGCCGGCGGCAUCUAGCGUCUGCGGCAGACCAAGACGGUAUGCUCGGCCAGUCCAGCCAUGAGCUGUGACUCCACAUGGCCACAAGUCCACGGCUGGCCUCCUCACCGUCUUGCAUCAUCAACAUACAUGUCACACUGGUGUUUUGAGGCUGGCCAUUGAUUUGGCUUUGCUGAAGUCUGCUUGUCAGGGUGGUUAAGAACUUUGAGGUGAGGUGGCUCUUAUCAGCAAGUUCCUCGGCAAGUUCACAUCAACAGUUAGGCUAAGCUGUGGGAGCUAUGGUUGGUAUCAAUUGGUCUUGCUAGUUUUAAUUAGUUGGCCAUUGACAUGGUUGGGGAAGCUUCCAGAUGAGGUCCUUCUCAGAUCUCUACUAGUGUUGUUGCCUUGUAGGCAGGGGGUGAAACAGGGUGUGUUUACCAUUUCAGAAUCACUACUUGCUUCAUAUCUUCCCCUCCGUUGACCAUAUGCUGAUAUGAAGAAAGGCAGUGCUAACAAAAGCGAUAUGAUCAUAUGAAGUUGGCUUUUUUUUUGCGAAUAUUGGCUUUGACACCAUUAUGUUGUUUCCGUAAAAUUCUUUUAUCAGUGUAUACUAGUAUACCAUGUGUCUUUUUUUUGCAAGGGAGGUAUACCAUGUGUUUACCAGAAUUAUCUUUGACUUGAAUUGUAUAUACAAUUAGCUUCACAUGUAAUUAAUAGUUACUCCUAUAUACAACGAUUGUGUAC